rnacentral:rRNA from 1 species
GACGAACGCUGGCGGCGUGCUUAACACAUGCAAGUCGAACGGAAAGGCCCUGCUUUUGUGGGGUGCUCGUGUGGCGCACGGGUGAGUAACACGUGAGUAACCUGCCCUUGACUUUGGGAUAACUUCAGGAAACUGGGGCUAAUACCGGAUAGGAGCUCCUGCUGCAUGGUGUGGGUUGGAAAGUUUCGGCGGUUGGGGAUGGACUCGCGGCUUAUCAGCUUGUUGGUGGGGUAGUGGCUUACCAAGGCUUUGACGGGUAGCCGGCCUGAGAGGGGGACCGGCCACAUGGGGACUGAGAGACGGCCCAGACGGCUACGGGAGGCAGCAGGGGGGAAUAUGACACAAUGGGCGGAAGCCUGAUGCAGCAACGCCGCGUGCGGGAUGACGGCCUUCGGGUGGUAAACCGCUUUCGACGGUGACGAAGCGUGAGUGACGGUAAUGGGUAAAGAAGCACCGGCUAACUACGUG